rnacentral:rRNA from 1 species
CCUACGGGGUGCAGCAGUCGAGAAUCAUUCACAAUGGGGGAAACCCUGAUGGUGCGACGCCGCGUGGGGGAAUGAAGGUCUUCGGAUUGUAAACCCCUGUCAUGUGGGCGCAAAUUAAAAAGAUAGUACCACAAGAGGAAGAGACGGCUAACUCUGUGCCAGCAGCCGCGGUAAUACAGAGGUCUCAAGCGUUGUUCGGAAUCACUGGGCGUAAAGCGUGCGUAGGCUGUUUCGUAAGUCGUGUGUGAAAGGCGCGGGCUCAACCCGCGGACGGCACAUGAUACUGCGAGACUAGAGUGAUGGAGGGGGAACCGGAAUUCUCGGUGUAGCAGUGAAAUGCGUAGAUAUCGAGAGGAACACUCGUGGCGAAGGCGGGUUCCUGGACAUUAACUGACGCUGAGGCACGAAGGCCAGGGGAGCGAAAGGGAUUAGAUACCCGUGUAGUC